rnacentral:lncRNA from 1 species
GUUUACUCUUUACAAAGAAAAGUCGUAUAUUUGAAGGGAAGUUUGGGUCAAGGGGCUUAUUUUUUCUGAAUUCCUCACCUAGCAAAACUGUCUGCCUCGAAGAACUCGGAAGCUCCCUCUGCACAGAGUUUUAUGACCGUGUUGUCUCCACCAAGAGAUGACCCGUGUGUGGGCCCCUAGCAGUGCUGGGCGGAGGACCCCGACUCGCGGCUCCGGGAGGCGCGCGGGGCCUGGGAGAGACGCGUGCCCACCCCAUCUCUGCCUUAUGCUGGGCCUGGAACCCCCAGAAGGCUGAGCGUUCGGUUCUUGAGUUUCGCUGGCAGUUUUCCCAAUGGCCACGGAAUCCCCCUGCAAGAAGCGUGGUGUUCCCUCCUGUUGUUUUGGGCUGUUGUUUAUACAGAGCUCCAGAUACAUAUGGCACAUGGAAGCAAUUAAGGAUCGGUUUUGAACGUCAGCCAACCAAAAACAGCAACGUUCCCACGCAGAGAUGAAGCAGAGGAUUUGCAACAGCCAGUGGCCGGACGACGCUUUGCAGCCGCACAGGCCGGGACGACAUUUGCCAUCUCUGUCAUCUGGAAACUGCCGUGAACCGCCUUGCCCGUGUCCUCAACGAGAGACCGGCACAGAAGCAGGAGCCCUCAGCUGUGCAUUCUGGUUGAAGGAAGGAAGACGAUCUCUAGGUCACUAAAGAGUAACUUCCUUGUAAAUACCGCACACAGAAGUCGACAUUGCUCGAAUUAUG